GAUGAACGCUGGCUACAGGCUUAACACAUGCAAGUCGAGGGGAAACGGCAUUGAGUGCUUGCACUGAAUGGACGUCGACCGGCGCACGGGUGAGUAACGCGUAUCCAACCUUCCCGUUACUGCGGGAUAACCUGCCGAAAGGCAGACUAAUACCGCAUGUUCUUCGAUGACGGCAUCAGAUUCGAAGCAAAGAUCCGUCGGUAACGGAGGGGGAUGCGUCUGAUUAGCUAGUUGGCGGGGCGACGGCCCACCAAGGCGACGAUCAGUAGGGGUUCUGAGAGGAAGGUCCCCCACAUUGGAACUGAGACACGGUCCAAACUCCUACGGGAGGCAGCAGUGAGGAAUAUUGAUCAAUGGGCGGAAGCCUGAACCAGCCAAGUAGCGUGCAGGAUGACGGCCCUACGGGUUGUAAACUGCUUUUAUGCGGGGAUAAAGUGAGGGACGCGUCCCUUUUUGCAGGUACCGCAUGAAUAAGGACCGACUAAUUCCGUG
rnacentral:rRNA from 1 species